AUUGAACGCUGGCGGCAUGCCUUACACAUGCAAGUCGAACGGCAGCACGGGUGCUUGCACCUGGUGGCGAGUGGCGAACGGGUGAGUAAUAUAUCGGAACGUACCUUAUUGUGGGGGAUAACGCAGCGAAAGCUGUGCUAAUACCGCAUAAUCCCUAAAGGGGAAAGCGGGGGACCGUAAGGCCUCGCGCAAUUAGAGCGGCCGAUACCUGAUUAGCUAGUUGGUGAGGUAAAGGCUCACCAAGGCAACGAUCAGUAGCUGGUCUGAGAGGACGAUCAGCCACACUGGGACUGGGACACGGCCCAGACUCCUACGGGAGGCAGCAGUGGGGAAUUUUGGACAAUGGGGGCAACCCUGAUCCAGCAAUGCCGCGUGAGUGAAGAAGGCCUUCGGGUUGUAAAGCUCUUUUGUCAGGGAAGAAACAGCAGCUCUAACACAGUAUGCGAAUGACGGUACCUGAAGAAUAAGCACCGGCUAACUACGUGCCAGCCGCCGCUGUAA
rnacentral:rRNA from 1 species